GUGGCCACCAAGGGGCCGGGCCCUGCACAGCGCCCUGGGGAAGCUGGUUUGAAAGCUCUGGAGCGACCCCAAUGCCGGAUAUUUACGUAAUUUCGAAGCAGCUCUUCACAAAAUAUUCAUCAGUUACAGAAGGAAGUCACUUCACAGUGGAAAAAUCUGGCAGGUGCCACCUUAAUCAAGUAACCAAAAUGAACAUCAUCAGUAAUAGGACAAAUUGCAAUCGUGUGCCUCCUGAUAGUCUAGCAAGAAGAACACAGCAUCACUUCUAUGAUGCUCCUGCCAAUAAUAUAUAAUUGGAAUCUAAUCCUAAAGCAACAAAUUCAAAUUAAGGAAAAUUCUACAAAAUAAUUGGCCUGUAAUAGAAGUGUUAAAGGUCAUGAAAGUUAAGGAAAGACUGAAGAACUGUUCCAGACUGAAGAUGAAAGAGAUGUGAGAAAUAAGUGCAGUGGUGAUUCUGAACUGGAUCCUGACUUGGCAAAACUUGAAUAGGUCUGUUGGUUGGAUGGUAGAAAUAUAGUAAUGUUGAUUUCCUGAUUUUUGCUAGCUAUAUUACAAUUUUAUUGGAUUCAGUCCUUGUUUACAGAAGACACACAGUAUGUAGGGGUUAUAAGAAGUCAGCUCAGGAACUUUCAAAUCAUUUAGCAAAACAAAAGUUCUUCGUACUUUAAUUCCAAGACUUCUAUAAAUUUGAGAUUAUUUUUAAAAUACUUAAAAAAAACUCCUUUAAAGUCUCUCAACAUGCUGUCCUAUUAAUAAUAGAUUUCUAAAUUUUUUAUUUUUAUCAACGUUUUGUGUGCCCAUAGUUUGAAGUAUUAAAUUGUUUUUAUUUAUUAAGG
rnacentral:lncRNA from 1 species